rnacentral:rRNA from 1 species
CGCACAAGCGGUGGAGCAUGUGGUUUAAUUCGAAGCUACGCGAAGAACCUUACCAGGUCUUGACAUACUAUGCAAAUCUAAGAGAUUAGACGUUCCCUUCGGGGACAUGGAUACAGGUGGUGCAUGGUUGUCGUCAGCUCGUGUCGUGAGAUGUUGGGUUAAGUCCCGCAACGAGCGCAACCCUUAUUAUCAGUUGCCAGCAUUAAGUUGGGCACUCUGGUGAGACUGCCGGUGACAAACCGGAGGAAGGUGGGGAUGACGUCAAAUCAUCAUGCCCCUUAUGACCUGGGCUACACACGUGCUACAAUGGAUGGUACAACGAGUUGCGAACUCGCGAGAGUAAGCUAAUCUCUUAAAGCCAUUCUCAGUUCGGAUUGUAGGCUGCAACUCGCCUACAUGAAGUCGGAAUCGCUAGUAAUCGCGGAUCAGCAUGCCGCGGUGAAUACGUUCCCGGGCCUUGUACACACCGCCCGUCACACCAUGAGAGUUUGUAACACCCAAAGUCGGUGGGGUAACCUUUUAGGAACCAGCCGCCUAAGGUGGGACAGAUGAUUAGGGUGAAGUCGUAACAAGGUAACC